rnacentral:rRNA from 1 species
UUGGAGGGCAAGUCUGGUGCCAGCAGCCGCGGUAAUUCCAGCUCCAAUAGCGUAUAUUAAAGUUGUUGCAGUUAAAAAGCUCGUAGUUGAAUCUCGGGGUUAGUAGGUUGGUCAUGCCUCUGGUAUGUACUAGUCUCACUGAUUCCUCCUUCCCGAUGAACCGUAAUGCCAUUAAUUUGGUGUUGCGGGGAAUUUGGACUGUUACUUUGAAAAAAUUAGAGUGUUUAAAGCAAGCUAACGCUUGAAUACAUUAGCAUGGAAUAAUGAGAUAGGACGUUCGAUCCUAUUUUGUUGGUUUCUAGGAUUGACGUAAUGAUUAAUAGGGAUAGUUGGGGGCAUUAGUAUUCAAUUGUCAGAGGUGAAAUUCUUGGAUUUAUUGAGGACUAACUACUGCGAAAGCAUUUGCCAAGGAUGUUUUCAUUAAUCAAGAACGAAAGUUAGGGGAUCGAAGACGAUCAGAUACCGUCGUAGUCUUAACCAUAAACUAUGCCGACUAGGGAUCGGAUGAUGUUAAUUUUUUAAUGACUCAUUCGGCACCUUACGGGAAAC